CAAAACAGACAUACAAACAAAACAGGCAGCUUCUGCUUCUUCCCACCUUGUACCCCUGCUGUUUUCAAAGAAGGCCCCGCGUUUCCCUUUGCCAAUUAGGUAUUUUGUUGAAUUGUUGGGAGCGAUUGAAUCAGGGCCUCUAAGCCAGAUGCCACAGUAAACUCGACUUUCUCCCAUUCCUCACUUCUUAAAGGUUACUAACUUGGAGACCAUCAAAAGGGAGCUUGUCUUGAGUGGGCCUGACCUAAUCAGGUGAACCUUUAAAAGAAGGUGAAGCAUCAGAGAGACCUGCUCCUGCUGGCCUGGAAGAAAGCAAACAGCUCUGGUGUGAGACCCCCAUGGGAGGCACAUGGCAAGGAACUGAGAGCAGCCGCUGGGAGCUGAGAGUAAUCCCUGACCGAUAGCCAGCAAGAAAACGAGGACCUCAGUCAUACAGCUGCAAGGAAGUAAAUUCUGCCAACAACCAGCGAGUUUGCAAGAGGAUCCUAACCCUCAGAUGAGAAUCACAGCCCUGGCCGACACCUUGAUUUCAUCCUGGUGAGACCCUGGCUAACGCAGACCUGUAAUUCUGACUUAUAGGACCUGAGAGAUAAUAAAGGGGUGUUGUUUUAAGCUGUUAAA